AGCAACACUGAUCAUUCAUAGUAUGCCGAGCACGCUAAUUGCAUGUACAACACUUGGGAAGAUAGUCAUACUCUACAGUGACGAUGACCUACGACAAUAUACUAACAUUCACUCAUGAUUUAUUCCAAUGUUAAAUGUAAUGACUGUUGUCUGUAGCAGCAACACUGAUCAUUCAUAGUAUGCCGAGCACGCUAAUUGCAUGUACAACACUUGGGAAGAUAGUCAUACUCUACAGUGACGAUGACCUACGACAAUAUACUAACAUUCACUCAUGAUUUAUUCCAAUGUUAAAUGUAAUGACUGUUGUCUGUAAGUUGACGGUAGCAGCAACACUGAUCAUUCAUAGUAUGCCGAGCACGCUAAUUGCAUGUACAACACUUGG